rnacentral:misc_RNA from 1 species
AAGUCGUAACAAGGUUUCCGUAGGUGAACCUGCGGAAGGAUCAUUAAUAAAUGAAAAACCUUCUUUCUUUUUGAUUUUCAAAAAGGAGAAAAAACAAGUGGUCUGGUUUUGGCCCCCUUUCUAAGGGGGACUCGAAGUCAGGCUCGAUUCAAUCGAGCGAGGUUCCUGGAGGAUACUCACCCAACAUCCUCCAUUCAACAACUCCUAUGUAUAAAUUUGUCUGAAUAAAACCAAGAAAUUUAAUUUCAAAAAUACAACUUUUGACAACGGAUCUCUUGGCUCUC